rnacentral:rRNA from 1 species
GACGAACGCGGGCGGCGUGCUUAACACAUGCAAGUCGAACGGUGACGGGAGGAGCUUGCUCCUCCUUGAUCAGUGGCGAACGGGUGAGUAACACGUGAGUAACCUGCCCCAGACUCUGGAAUAACCCCGGGAAACCGGAGCUAAUACGGGAUACGAGACGGAGCCGCAUGGCUACCGUCUGGAAAGUUUUUCGGUCUGGGAUGGACUCGCGGCCUAUCAGCUUGUUGGUGAGGUAGUGGCUCACCAAGGCGACGACGGGUAGCCGGCCUGAGAGGGCGACCGGCCACACUGGGACUGAGACACGGCCCAGACUCCUACGGGAGGCAGCAGUGGGGAAUAUUGCACAAUGGGCGGAAGCCUGAUGCAGCGACGCCGCGUGAGGGAUGAAGGCCUUCGGGUUGUAAACCUCUUUCGACAGGGACGAAGCGCAAGUGACGGUACCUGGAGAAGAAGCGCCGGCCAACUACGUGCCAGCAGCCGCGGUAAGACGUAGGGCGCGAGCGUUGUCCGGAUUUAUUGGGCGUAAAGAGCUCGUAGGCGGCUUGUUGCGUCAGCUGUGAAAACCCGCAGCUCAACUGUGGGCUUGCAGCUGAUACGGGCAGGCUUGAGUUCGGUAGGGGAGACUGGAAUUCCUGGUGUAGCGGUGAAAUGCGCAGAUAUCAGGAGGAACACCGGUGGCGAAGGCGGGUCUCUGGGCCGAUACUGACGCUGAGGAGCGAAAGCGUGGGGAGCGAACAGGAUUAGAUACCCUGGUAGUCCACGCUGUAAACGUUGGGCGCUAGGUGUGGGGGGCCUCUCCGGUUCUCUGUGCCGCAGCUAACGCAUUAAGCGCCCCGCCUGGGGAGUACGGCCGCAAGGCUAAA